GGUAAACGCUGGCGGCGUGCCUAAAACAUGCAAGUCGAACGGAUAGUCGCAAGAUUAUCAGUGGCAGACGGCUGAGUAACGCGUGGGUGACGUGCCGAUAGGUGGGGAAUAACUGCCCGAAAGGGUGGCUAAUACCGCAUACGUCCACUGAUUCGUUUUCAGUGGGGAAAGCUUCGCAAGAGGCGCCGAUAGAGCGGCCCGCGUCCGAUUAGCUGGUUGGUGGGGUAACGGCCUACCAAGGCGACGAUCGGUAGCUGGUCUUAGAGGAUG
rnacentral:rRNA from 1 species